UGAAAACCCGGCGUGAUGAAUCAAGUAUGUUUAGUACAUGCACUAAGACAUUAAGAUUAGUUUCAUGAGACCUAUUAAGGAUAGAAUUUCUUGUAGGCUUUGUGGACCAAGGGGAUUAGCACUGCUUUCCCAAGAUGAGUUUAUGUGAUUAUGUUCUUCAGGCUUUGCCUAUCCAGGUUGGCUGGCCGGUGCUGACGGGACGGAGCUGAGGCUAGGGUUAAUUUCCUAUGUUAAACUUCCGCUGUAGCAAUUACUCAUAUCCGUCUUUUGUUUUCCCAACUUAAGAUCUUCAUGUUAAAUUUCAAAUGAUAUACCUGACCGAGCUUAGACUCUUCACUACCAAAUUUAUGCUAAUGAAUGUCGGUUGUCAGAAGCAUAAAACAAAACUUGUGAUCCAAAGGGGCAUAGCCCGACUUUCUAUCUUAUUUCGGUUUUAACAAGGUUUUUCCUUUGUUUAUUUCUA